rnacentral:lncRNA from 1 species
ACAUUCAUUAAAUGAUUCUUUAUUGCUUAGGCCAUCCCUGUGAUCUCUAACUGUUCUCUUCAUUUUCAGGCUCUCCCCUACUGCUGCCAAAGGAAUCUUCUGAAAGUCAAUAUUGAUUAUGCUCCCACUGUUAAAAGAAAUUAUAGGAGGGAAGGAAGAAGAAAGACUGAGAGGAAAAAAGGAAGUCCUUAAAAGAAUUCUAAGAGAAGCCCUAAAGAUGUACUCCAAGUUGUGGCUACAGAAAAUUUUCACAGGCUUCCCAGUACUGCUGAGUCAGCUAAGUAUUGAAACAUGUUUCUCUCAAGUGUAAAAAUACAAAGUUG